UUUGUUUAGAAUUCAACCAAGGAUGAAAAGGACAAGAGUUGUGUGUCCCAUGAACUUAUGUGGCAAAUCUGACUUUAAAAAUGACACACAUUUGCAUCAGUUUUUCCAUCUAGCUGCCCUAAGCCCACCCUGGAUCCCAGCUCUGAUUUUUCCAUGGUCAUGCACAACUCAGUCUUUGUAUCUCUUUCUCCUUGUCUAUAAAAUUAGGUCAGUAAUACCUACUUUGCAGUCAUUUUCAAAAUUAAAUGAAAUUUUAAAAGGUAUACAAAAUGCUAAGCACACAGCACUUAAAUGUUUCAACCUUCUGAAACGUCUCUCCAUUUGGCUGCCCUAGGCUCUAAACAAGUUAUGUUGGAGUCACCAUUCUUUCCAAAAACUGUAAGUUUCUGUCCUCUAGCAUUUUUCCUUAAAAUGAUCUUGAUCCAUAAGAUUGUGUGAAUAUUUACAUUCAUAAUCCAAUUCACAUAUUUAUAGGGAAGUUCACUUGAAAAGACUAAGUGGAAAUUUUUUAAAUAUGAGGCAUCUAUUUUUGAGCAUCUAUUAUGUACCAGGUCUUAUCCUAAGCAUUCUAUACUUAUAAUUUUACUUCAUUUCAUUUCAUUCUUAUAAAGCCCCUUUAGGAAAAGAAUUAUUUUGCUCAUUGUAUAGAUGAUAAAAUUGGAUUUCACAGAGGUAAAGUUAAUGUGCACACACACGUAUACACACAAAAUUGCUACCGGGGGAACUUGCUAGGACUUGAACCCAGGUCUGUCAAAACUCCAAAGGCAGACAGGCUAUAAUUGUGUCUCCCAGUGUAUAAAACACUUUAUAUAUCAAGUGUAUAUGAAUACUUUACAUAUAAAGUAUUCAUAAGAUGUUUUGUGUAUACUUGUGCACAUGUCAAACUUUAAAAGAUUUAAGUAUAAACUAUAGUUUUGUACUUAGAACAGUAUCAUAAAAUGAAUUUCUAAAUCAAUACUGAAAUUGAUCUAAUUUCUAUGUUUAGCCAUUGAGAGGUUAAUCUACUUCUCAUAAGAGAGUUAGAAAGUUUCCAAAGCAUCUCCUCCCCACCCCCAGGCCUUUUUGACUACCCCAGCUUUUUAUUAGCCCUAAUGUUGGUCGCCUUCCCAGGGCAUCUACUGGUUUGCAUGUAAUUUGUCUAAUUAAAUUUAAAGAAGAGAUGUUUCAGGGAGCACCAUUUCAUCACUUCCUCUCAUACUCCAUACUGUGGACUUUAAUGAGGACCUAGACCCUAUCUUAACUCAGCCUUAGUUUCAGCACGGAUGAGCUGAGCUUGUUAAGACAGUCCUCAGUUGUCAGGAAAAAUAGCUUUAUUAAGGUCAUGGAAUGUCGAGAGUUUGAUUAAAGCUAAUCAAGGAAGAAAGCCAGGCUGCAGCAUGGUGAAUCAAGCCUCAGUGCAUGUUUAACAUAACUUAACCUAGUCUAUCUGUUGAAAGCAGACAUAAAUAAGAUCAGGUUUCUUAAAAAAAA